AACGAACGCUGGCGGCAUGCCUAACACAUGCAAGUCGAACGAGACCUUCGGGUCUAGUGGCGCACGGGUGCGUAACGCGUGGGAACCUGCCCUUAGGUUCGGAAUAACUCCCCGAAAGGGGUGCUAAUACCGGAUAAUGUCUUCGGACCAAAGAUUUAUCGCCUUUGGAUGGGCCCGCGUUGGAUUAGCUAGUUGGUGGGGUAAAAGCCUACCAAGGCGACGAUCCAUAGCUGGUCUGAGAGGAUGAUCAGCCACACUGGGACUGAGACACGGCCCAGACUCCUACGGGAGGCAGCAGUGGGGAAUAUUGGACAACGGGCGGAAGCCUGAUCCAGCAAUGCCGCGUGAGUGAUGAAGGCCUGAGGGUUGUAAAGCUCUUUUACCCGGGAUGAUAAUGACAGUACCGGGAGAAUAAGCUCCGGCUAACUCCGUG
rnacentral:rRNA from 1 species